GAUGAAGAACGUAGCGAAAUGCGAUACUUGGUGUGAAUUGCAGAAUCCCGUGAACCAUCGAGUCUUUGAACGCAAGUUGCGCCCGAAGCCAUUAGGCCGAGGGCACGCCUGCCUGGGCGUCACACGUCGUUGCCCCCCCAUCUACUCCUUCGGGAUUGCGGGGGGCGGAUGAUGGCCUCCCGUGCGCCUCGUCGCGCGGUUGGCAUAAAUGCCAAGUCCUCGGCGACACACGCCACGACAAUCGGUGGUUGCGAAACCUCGGUUGCCCGUCGUGUGCGGUCGUCGCGCAUCGAGGGCUCGAAAAAAUUGCCGGGCUCCGGCUCGGCUUUCAACGCGACCCCAGGUCAGGCGGGGUUACCCGCUGAAUUUAAGUAUAUCAAUAAGCGGAGGA
rnacentral:misc_RNA from 1 species